AUUGAACGCUGGCGGCAGGCCUAACACAUGCAAGUCGAACGAGUGGCGGACGGGUGAGUAAUGUCUGGGAAACUGCCUGAUGGAGGGGGAUAACUACUGGAAACGGUAGCUAAUACCGCAUACCAUCGGUUGUGCUCAGGUGGGAUUAGCGAGGGGGGGGGGUAACGGCUAACCUAGGCGACGAUCCCUACCUGGUCUGAGAGGAUGACCGGCCACACUGGAACUGAGACACGGUCCAGACUCCUACGGGAGGCAGCAGUGGGGAAUAUUGCGCAAUGGGCGCAAGCCUGAUGCAGCCAUGCCGCGUGUAUGAAGAAGGCCUUCGGGUUGUAAAGCACUUUCAGCGGGGAGGCGUUACUCGCAGAAGAAGCACCGGCUAACUCCGUGCCAGCAGCCGCGGUAAUUC
rnacentral:rRNA from 1 species